AUUGAACGCUGGCGGCAUGCCUUACACAUGCAAGUCGAACGGUAACAGGUCUUCGGAUGCUGACGAGUGGCGAACGGGUGAGUAAUACAUCGGAACGUGCCUAGUAGUGGGGGAUAACUACUCGAAAGAGUGGCUAAUACCGCAUGAGAUCUACGGAUGAAAGCAGGGGAUCGCAAGACCUUGUGCUACUAGAGCGGCCGAUGGCAGAUUAGGUAGUUGGUGGGAUAAAAGCUUACCAAGCCGGCGAUCUGUAGCUGGUCUGAGAGGACGAUCAGCCACACGGGGACUGAGAAACGGCCCAGACUCCUACGGGAGGCAGGAGUGGGGAAUUUUGGACAAUGGGCGAAAGCCUGAUCCAGCAAUGCCGCGUGCAGGAUGAAGGCCUUCGGGUUGUAAACUGCUUUUGUACGGAACGAAAAGCCCUGGGUUAAUACCCUGGGGUCAUGACGGUACCGUAAGAAUAAGCACCGGCUAACUACGUGCCAGCCGCCGCCGUAA
rnacentral:rRNA from 1 species